AUAGGAAAAGGUUGCUAAUAAACUGCUCAAAGAAAAUGCACGCACUGGAAUAAACAGGUGAAAGAAGAUGGAGGAAGGGGACUCGGCAGGAUGUCGCAUCCUGGGCCUACGUAGUUUGUCAGAAACAAACAUCAGAGUCAACGUAGUUCGGGAAAAUGGGAAGUAUGCUCGCUAGGACAUCGCAUCCUAUGCCUACGUAUCUUCUCU
rnacentral:lncRNA from 1 species